AGWGUUUUGAAUCCUGGCUCAGGAUGAACGCUGGCGGCGUGCYUAAUACAUGCAAGUCGAGCGAACAGAUAAGGAGCUUGCUCCUUUGACGUUAGCGGCGGACGGGUGAGUAACACGUGGGUAACCUACCUAUAAGACUGGGAUAACUUCGGGAAACCGGAGCUAAUACCGGAUAACAUUUGGAACCGCAUGGUUCUAAAGUGAAAGAUGGUUUUGCUAUCACUUAUAGAUGGACCCGCGCCGUAUUAGCUAGUUGGUAAGGUAACGGCUUACCAAGGCRACGAUACGUAGCCGACCUGAGAGGGUGAUCGGCCACACUGGAAMUGAGACACGGUCCAGACUCMUMCGGGMGGCAGCAGUAGSGAAUCUUCYGCAAUGGGSGAAAGCCUGACGSAGCAACRCCKCGUGAGUGAUGAAGGGUUUCGGCUCGUAAAACUYUGUUAUUAGGGAAGAACAAAUGUGUAAGUAACUGUGCACAUCUUGACGGUACCUAAUCAGAAA
rnacentral:rRNA from 1 species